CCUACGGGAGGCAGCAGUGGGGAAUAUUGCACAAUGGGGGAAACCCUGAUGCAGCGACGCCGCGUGAGUGAAGAAGUAUUUCGGUAUGUAAAGCUCUAUCAGCAGGGAAGAAGAAAGACGGUACCUGACUAAGAAGCGCCUGCUAACUACGUGACAGCAGCCGCUGUAAUACGUCAGGGGCAAGCGUUAUCCGGAUUUACUGGGUGUAAAGGGAGCGUAGACGGCUGUGCAAGUCAGAAGUGAAAGCCCAGGGCUCAACCCUGGAACUGCAUUGGAAACUGGAGAGCUUGAGUGCGGGAGGGGUGACUGGAAUUCAUGGUGUAGCGGUGAAAUGCGUAGAUAUUAGGAGGAACACCAGUGGCGAGGGCGACUGACUGGAGAGUAACUGACGUUGAGGCUCGAAAGCGUGGGGAGCAAACAGGAUUAGAUACCCCAGUAGUC
rnacentral:rRNA from 1 species